UACAGAGGUCCCAAGCGUUGUUCGGAUUUACUGGGCGUAAAGGGUGCGUAGGUGGUGAGGUAAGUCUGAUGUGAAAUCUCCGAGCUCAACUCGGAAAUGGCAUUGGAAACUACCUUGCUAGAGGGUUGGAGGGGGGACUGGAAUACUUGGUGUAGCAGUGAAAUGCGUAGAUAUCAAGUGGAACACCAGUGGCGAAGGCGAGUCCCUGGACAACUCCUGACACUGAGGCACGAAAGCUAGGGGAGCAAACAGG
rnacentral:rRNA from 1 species